rnacentral:rRNA from 1 species
GAUGAACGCUAGCUACAGGCUUAACACAUGCAAGUCGCGGGGCAGCAUUCACUUAGCUUGCUAAGUGAGAUGGCGACCGGCGCACGGGUGAGUAACGCGUAUCCAACCUGCCCUUGUCCACGGGAUAGCCCGGUGAAAACCGGCCUAAUACCGUAUGAGGUCACAAGCGGGCAUCCAACUGUGACGAAAGGCUUAGCGGACAAGGAUGGGGAUGCGUCCGAUUAGCUUGACGGCGGGGUAACGGCCCACCGUGGCUACGAUCGGUAGGGGUUCUGAGAGGAAGGUCCCCCCACAUUGGGAACUGAGACACGGGUCCAAACUCCUACGGGAGGCAGCAGUGAGGAAUAUUGGUCAAUGGGACGGGAGUCUGGAACCAGCCAAGUAGCGUGCAGGGAUGACGGCCCU